CUGUAAGAAUUCAAUUUUGAAUCAUUUUCAUUUCAAAUUGAUUCACACACAUAGCAGACGCCAACACAUCAAGCGUCAUCAAUAGCGUGGUCUAUGGUGCAAUGCUAUCGCUGGAGUAAGUUGUUUACCUUCAAUUCGGGUAGCGUCAUGAUUGGACUACCCUGAUGGCGUCAUGAUCGCUGCUGAUUGCCUUUCAAAUAGGUUUUCAGCAUUCUGCUUACACCUUUGGCAUAGAGUCACAUAUUUCACAAUCCAACAUCAAUUGGUAGCAACAGCAGCCCUUCUCUCCAUCAUCCAGAAGGGUCUGAGAUCAGUGUUGGAGAUGAUGGUUCGGAACAACCCAUGGAAAGCUUAUCACUCAUUGAUGCUGUGAUGCCUGAUGUUGUUGCAAGUCGUCAACAGCAAACACAGAACAAUCAGAAACCACAAGUGGUAAAGACAGAACCACCAAAUUCCAAUGGAGAUGAACCCAUGCAUUCCUAUCGCUGGGAAGAGGAAACAGGAGUAGAGAUACCUGCCAGCAAAUCAACUGUACCGGAAAAGGAUCGGACACAUUUGAUUUGAUAGUAUUUUGACAAGACCCAAUGAUGAAAACAUAGAUAAUUAUGACAUGUCAUUUGUGAGCGAUGAUGAAAUGUAAAUUUAACAUUCAACUGAUUUUUAAAUCAUAUUAUCUUAUUUUUAUUGAUGUAUAAAAUGUAUUGGCACUGGUUACCUGAAUAGCAUUCAGGUUCCCAAUCUGAGCCAGAAGCCAAUAAAUCAGUUGUUGGGUUCAGGCGCAGAUGAAAACUUCAGAUUCAUGGCCACGUAGUACAGUUGAUUUGCUGGCAGGUAUCUCUACUCCUGUUUCCUCUUCCCAGCCUUCAUUAAAUAGUUGAAGGGAAAAUAAGUAAGUAGUUCAGGGGAUCAAAGAAAAGUAUUGACCAUCUUACGAUAGGAAUGCAUGGGUUCAUCUCCAUUGGAAUUUGGUGGUUCUGUCUUUACCACUUGUGGUUUCUGAUUGUUCUGUGUUUGCUGUUGACGACUUGCAACAACAUCAGGCAUCACAGCAUCAAUGAGUGAUAAGCUUUCCAUGGGUUGUUCCGAACCAUCCUGAAAAACAAAAACAUACACGAGUAAAAAUUUGGUGGUAGAUAAAUUUCAUCAUAUUAAAAUUGUCACUCACAUCUCCAACACUGAUCUCAGACCCUUCUGGAUGAUGGAGAGAAGGGCUGCUGUUGCUACCAAUUGAUGUUGGAUUGUGAAAUAUGUGACUCUAUGCCAAAGGUGUAAGCAGAAUGCUGAAAACCUAUUUGAAAGGCAAUCAGCAGCGAUCAUGACGCCAUCAGGGUAGUCCAAUCAUGACGCUACCUAUUCACACAAGUUGAUAAUUACAAUAGUAGCAACUUAAGAUUGAAAAUAACAUGAUAUAAUUCUCUAACAUACCCGAAUUGAAGGUAAACAACUUACUCCAGCGAUAGCAUUGCACCAUAGACCACGCUAUUGAUGACGCUUGAUGUGUUGGCGUCUGCUAUGUGUGUGAAUCAAUUUGAAAUGAAAAUGAUUCAAAAUUGAAUUCUUACAGAUCAAAUGUAACGAAAAUUGUAAUUCAAAUUUUAAAAUGAUUAAAAAUAAAAUGUACACAUGUUGAA
rnacentral:lncRNA from 1 species